ACAACCCACGGUUGUUUAUCUCAAGGACCCAGGAGCCAUCUUUUUGAAAUGUGAUCAGAGCGGGCAGAUGUGGCAAAAAAGGAGAAAGAGGCUUGGCAAUCCCCGUGCUGAGAGGAGUUUCACUGUUGAGACUGAACCAGCAGACAGAAGGCGAGGCACCCUCACAAGCAAUGCCCACGUCAACUCUCUUCCCCAGGCACAGUGUGUCUACACUUUUCAUCUCAUGAGCCAUAUAAACAAAAGGAAACCGGAGCCAGGAAGAGGGAGGUGACCUGCAUGAACUGUCCUGAGUCCAGCUGGACGCUAACUUCAUUCCAGAUUAUGACUUUGAGGAUCUUCCACUUCCACGGUGGUAGCUUUGGGGCACUCGCUAGAGAAUUCCAAGGUUACACUUGGCCAGGCUACUCUGCAGAACUCUGCAGCCCAUAAAGUAGACUUGGAGGAAAAGCAUCUUUGUUUUCUGGCACAGCCUAGAUGACUGUCAGCAUAGGAGACUUUCUACCUCGACCGAAUUUGGAAAAUAAGCCCGAGAAGCCUUGAAGGCAGGGCAAGAUGAGGCAGGUCCCAGCAGCUCUGUGCCUGGAGGUGGGGGCUAGGGUGGGUGGAACGGCCAAGGCAGGACUGAGCCCGUUCUGGCCCAGUGUGGGCCCAGCGCCAUACCUGCAGGAGGCUGGUUCCUUGUGCAGAAUUACCAAAUGCUACAAAUAGGGGAACACUGCAGAUGAAAGUGUGACGGGUUUAUUAGUAAUCACACCAUUCGGGGCACUAAAACUUCAAAAUCCUCUUCCUGACAAAGUCGUGCUAAUCCUUACAACACCCCCACUGAGCUGGGGAAGCAAACAGGAUUCAUUAUUCCCAUUUUAGGGAGAGCAGAGAGAGGUAAAGGAAAUGGCAACCCACUCUGGUAUUCUUGCCUGGAGAAUCCCAGGGAUGGGGAAGCCUGGUGGGCUGCCGUCUAUGGGGUCACACAGAGUCAGACAUGACUGAAGCGACUUAGCAGUAGCAGCAGUAGCAGAGAGAGGUAAGGAGCUCUACGCAGGGUCAUAGGAAGGUGAGCAUCACUGGAGUCCGGAUGACCAAGUCCAGCUUCAGAACAACAUGCUGCCCAGCUCUACUGACUCAUGCUGGGAGGGUCAGCUAAGGAGUCUCUCAUUACUCAGAAUGGAACUGGUGAUUAGAUUUUAUUUAAAAUAAAGGAAGCAGACAUUGUUUUUUGUUGAAACUUUAAUAACAGUAAAUGACAGUAAUUUUGCCAAAUGAGAAAUGUCUGACUUGAGAUGCUGGCAGACUUGCCCAGUAUCAGGAUAUAGAAUGUAUGACUUUGAUGAAUCUCAUCUGGAGCUGGACUCGCAUCACCCAGCCUCCUCCCUGACGGUGGCCUCUACGUGCUACUGCUUCCCCUGGCAGCCUGAAAAGUUUAGGCAUGAGUACUAAAUAAUGCUUGGGCUUCCCAGGUGGCAAUAGUGGUUGCCUGCUAAUGCAGGAGGCAUAAGAGACAUGGGUUCAAUCCCUGGGUCGGGAAGAUCCCCUGCAGGAGGGCAUGGCAACCCACUACAGCAUUGUUGCCUGGAACCUCAAAGAGUUGGACACGACUGAAGAGACUUAGCAUGCACGUGCUGAACAAUGUUUAGUGGUGUUUUUUUUUGUUUUUUAACAAUCUUCCUU
ensembl:lncRNA